rnacentral:pre_miRNA from 1 species
CAUAUACUCCCUCCGUUCGGAAUUACUUGUCUCGGAAAUAGAUGUAUUUAGAACUAAAAUACAUCUAGAUACAUCCAUUUCUACGACAAGUAAUUCCGAACGGAGGAAGUACGAG